CGAGCCUGACAGGAUUCGAACCUGGAAUCUUCUGUUCCGCAGUCAGACGCGUUAUCUGUUGUGCCACAGGCUC
rnacentral:tRNA from 1 species